AGAGAAAGCAGAUUCCAGCUCAGAAGAGGAUGCAGGAAGAGGUGGUGAGAUGGCUCAGCAGAUGAUGGUCACUGCCACCAACCAUGGGGAUCUGAGUUCAAAUCCUGGGAAUCACAAGUUGGAAUGGGAAAACUGACUUCUGAAGCUUGGAUCUCAUCACAGUUCACGAUUGUCUGCUGGAGCUUUGAAACUUCCGGGCUGAUCUCUGCUUCCCGUCUUCAGAUGGGAAUAGAAGCCAGUAAGCGGCUCUGAGGCUCCUCACUGGCCUUCAAUAAGGACACUGUGUACCGUGGAGCAGCUGCGCAAGGCUUCGCAAAUGCUGGCUGACAAGAAGUGACAGCCCUGUAUAUCUCUCACUGGCAUUGACAGCUGACAGAUGGAUACCACUCACACACAGAAGAAAAGCCCCCGGGACGGUUCGCCAGCAUUACUCUCUGUUCACAGGGCCACAUGUGAUGGAGUGCUGCUCGGAAUAAUAAACCCGGAGGAUGGCUGCAGCGUGGGCUUCUCAUACAGCACACAGGACUUGUCCCCGCUCUAAAACACGAACAAAUAGAUACACAGAAGCUCUGUCUUGUGGGU
rnacentral:sRNA from 1 species